GAGUGGCCUGAGGGCAGGGACAGUGGGGGUAGGCAGGAAGGAUCUAUGAAACUCUGCCUCUGGUGCUUAUUAGAUGACUUUGAAAGCAAAAAACAUGCUUGAGACCAGUCUGGGCAGCAUGGUGAAACCCCAGCUCUACAAAAAAAUUAGUCCGGUGUGGUGACACGUGCCUAUGGUCCCAGCUACUCAGAGGCUGAAGCGGGAGGAUCGCUUGAACCCGGGAGGUAGAGGCUGCAGUGAGCCGAGAUCGUGCCACUACACUCCAGCCUGGGCGACAGAAUGAGACCCUGUCUCAAAAAACAGGAUGCGAUCACCAAUGGAGUAUAAAUGGAAAAGAGAUUGGAUUGAGCCCCAGGACACACCAGUUUAGAGGCCUUUGGAGAUGAAGGAAAAGCAGCCAAGGAGUUGGAGCAAGCCUGGUCGGGAGACGGGGAAAGAAUACCAUGAGAAUGAGGCAUUCUGGAAGGCACCUGGAACUGCUUCAAAGACGAGGCAGAGAUCAGCUAUAACAAAUGCUGCGGAUGUGUUCAGGAAAGACAAAGACUGGUUAGAAUUAACGUUGGGUGACCUUGGUAGGAGCAGUUACAGUGAUAUAGUGACAAUAAAAACCUGAUUUGUGUUUGGAUUCAAAAAAUCAGGAGGAGAGAUUUGGCAUAUCCAUACAAUGGAAAACUACUAAGCAAUAAAAAGGAAUGAACAAUGGAUACAACAACAUGAAUAAAUUUCAAAAUAAUUAUGUUGAGUGAAGGCCAAACACAAAAGAACACAUACUGUAGGAUUCCAUUUACAUAAAAUUCGAGAAAAUGCAAAUUAAUCUAUAGUGACAGAAAGCAGAGGUGUGGCGUUGCCUGAGGCAAAUGAGUGCCAUAAGGAAAGACUGCGACUAGGCAGAAGGAAACUUGGGGUGAUGGACGUAUUUACUAUCUUCUUUUUUUUUUUUUUUUUUGAGACGGAGUUUCACUCUCGUUGCCGAGGCUGUAUUUAUCUCCAUGCUACCUGUAUAGGCUUUUAAAUUCCCCGAGGAUGGAAAUCCCAUCUCCCUAAAGCUCUCCUUGAAGACGCUAGUACAGCAUCUUUUGAACCUGGGAGGCUGAGGUUGCAGUGAGCCGAGAUCGUGCCACUGCACUCCAGCCUGGGCAAAAGAGCGAGACUCCCUCUCAAAAAAAAAAAAAAAAAAAAAAGUAAAAACGUGGCCAGGCGCAGUGGCUCACGCCUGUAAUCCCAGCACUCUGGGAGGCCGAGGCGGGCGGAUCAUGAGGUCAGGAGAGAGAUGGAGACCAUCCUGGCUAACACGGUGAAAUCCCGUCUCCACUGAAAAUACAAAAAAUUAGCCGGGCAUGGUGGUGGCCGCCUGUAGUCCCAGCGACUCAGGAGGCUGAGGCAGGAGAAUGGAGUGAACCCCAGGAGGAUCGCUUGAACCCGGGACGCGGAGGUUGCAGUAAGCCGAGAUCUCGCCACCGCACUCCAGCCCGGGAGACAAAGCGAGACUCCAUCUCAAAAAAAAAAAAAAAAAAAAAAAAGAAUACGAGGCAUUAGCCAGGUGUGGUGGCGCACGGCUGUAAUCCCAGCUACUUGGGAGGCUGAGGUACGAGAAUCACUUGAACCCAGGAGGCGGAGGUUGCAGUGAGCAGAGAUCACGCCAUUGCACUCCAGCCUGGGCGACAGAGCAAGACUUCACCUCAAAAAAAAAAAAAAAAAAA
rnacentral:lncRNA from 1 species